GGAUUAGAUACCCUGGUAGUCCACGCCGUAAACGAUCAUCACUCGCUGUUGGCGAUAUACUGUCAGCGGCCAAGCGAAAGUAUUAAGUGAUGCACCUGGGGAGUACGCCGGCAACGGUGAAACUCAAAGGAAUUGACGGGGGCCCGCACAAGCGGUGGAGCAUGUGGUUUAAUUCGAUGAUACGCGAGGAACCUUACCAGGGCUUAAAUGUAGUAUGACCGGUCUGGAAACAGACCUUCCCUUCGGGGCAGAUUACAAGGUGCUGCAUGGUUGUCGUCAGCUCGUGCCG
rnacentral:rRNA from 1 species